rnacentral:lncRNA from 1 species
ACGUUCAAAGAAGCGCGCAGCCUGGGGCAGCAGCAAGUGCUCCUUUUUUCGGUGCGCUGCUUUCCAACUCUGCUGUCCUUUGAGGCUUUUCCCAACAACCGCACCCAGAGGUCCCAGCGCGGGUCUCAGCAUGCCAGGCCUGGGAGCCCCGCACCACCGCGAGGAUCGCGGUCCCCUACCUGGGUGGAAAAUCCGCAGCGAGCCGGUCAGCAGCUGAACACCGCACUGGCAAAGCCUCACAGGAGACAGCUAUGUCAGGAUCCCUUCAGCAAAAUCUUGCUGGCGUAUGCAAUAGUGUCUGCGUUUGGUGCCUGAUUGUGGGAUGGACCUCCAGUUUCUAAAGGGAAUAUGUUCCAUGAAGAAAUGAAGACACAGUUCAGAGAAUCUAUACUCCAUCCAAUCCAGGCUUCUUCAGCAACUGUAGAGUUUAGAAGGAUGUAAAUUCUGUGUGCAGCCCAUUACUGACCUAAGGUUGGUGAUUAGCAACUCCAAAGGUAAACCAGCCCCCUUGCUUAUGACUUAUUCAGAAACUCAAGCCUAACAGCAUUUCUUUGCCACAGGGAUUGAUUUUAGAAGGUUUGCAGGGUCUGGCUAAAUAAAGAACCACUCCUGG